rnacentral:lncRNA from 1 species
AUGAUCCCAGGAUCCCAAGACAGACAGCAGUGUUACUCAUGGCAAGGAUUAGGUAUUAACAGGAAAAGCACCUUCUGCCUUAACUUGUUUUUCAUCUGGAUAACUAAGAAAAUUUGUUACAGAUCCUGGUACACAUUAGCUUUUAAUGAUUUCUGUGCCUCACCUUGUUUAGAAAGGCAGGUUUGCUCCCAGUUGCAGCUGUGGACCCUGAGUUACACUGGGUCAAGCCAAGGUAGAUGCCUGCAAGUGGGGUCCUGUCAACACAGACGAAUUGGAGCUGAGUUAACCCGGUUGCCCUUCAUUGAUUACAAGCACCAGAUCUCUGUAAGGCCUGCUGGCCCUGCUGAGCUGAGCCAGUGCUCUGUUGGGGUGAGCUUGCAGCAGUUCAGCUGGAAGCAGAGCUGAACUUCUAGCUCCAGGAACAGCGACUGCCUGCACAGCAGAACAAGUAAAGUAAGAGGAAAGAUGAGACUGUGACUAAUGCUUACUUCAAGGUUUACACUUAAUUUUAAUUGAGUAUCUUGGCUUUACACCAAAAGGUCUUUUUAUAACUGUAACUCAGACCUCUUUUUGUAUGUAAUGGGAAAUGCCACAUAUCUUUGCAGCUAAUUUGUAGUUAACCAUACAUCUGCAUGAUAAAGUAAUCAUGGUAUUUUGAUGGAACUAAUUAAUACUGUGACAUCUCAUCCAAGUUGUGCUGCCAUCUUGGAUGUCACAUCAAGCUGGUGAUAACUUAGUGAAUACAUUCAAUCCAGUUAUAUACUUACUACCACUUCUUGUGCCAAGACUUUAAUGUGCUUCAGUGCAUGAAGGAAUUACACAACCAACUCCAGGAAUAUAUAUUCCAGCUCUCUGUUUUGUUUCAGCGAAAAAACAGGUAGUGAUUAUAUUAUAGCUUCAUAGCAGAUAUUUAUAAAUUUGCUAUAAACAAAUGCUGAUCUAAAGCACUGCAUACAGCUCUUAGGUAACUUAGUUAUUACAGAACUGAUAGGAAUAGUAACCAUUUUUUCCCAGUACCCCAACGACUACCUUUUAAUGACUGCAGGCUGAAAUAAAAUUAUACCUUGUCUGACAUAGCCUUAUUGUAAGGGGGAAAGUCAGGAAUAAGCCUAUUGUUACAACUCAGUGUAAAAGAUUUAUUUUGACUCAGUCAUGGUCCAAAGCCAAGUAAUUGGAGCUGUUUGCAUACAGUGGAUUGGAUACAAGUACACGCCCCUUUUCAAGAUUGGUAAUUUGUCUUUUUGAAUAGACACAAUUUCAGUUGAUAUCUGUUGUAGGUGUAAAUUGUAUCUACUGGACUUGUGUUUAUGGGGGAGGGAAGAAGAGGUUUAAAUCUUUAAGAAACUUUAUUUUUUUCUGCAGUGUUAAUUGUAUAUAUUGGCCAAAGUUUAUCCUGAUUUGAAUUGACACUUGGCUGCUCUAAUUCCACCAAGUCUUUUUAACAAUCUAAAUGGAAAAAGAAUCUGGGCCGCUGAUGAAAAAGCUUUGGCUUGUGACCUCCAUGUGAACCCAUGCUCAGAAAUUAGUUUUGGCCUGCGUGACUGAGUCUACAUCAAGGUCUUGUCUCAUUAAUACAUACAGCCAUAAUAACAAGCUGGUGUUUUUAGGAAGCAAUGAUCUAACAAAGCCAUUCUCUUUUUUAAUGUAUAUAUCUGUGAAAGUGAGCUAUUCUGUAUAUAUCUUAAAUUACAGAACGUAGCCUGAUUUAUUUUUUAAAUGAACUUUUCAGAAAUAAUCUCAUGAAAUUGUCAUGAUUUCCUGCAGCUGAGAACCCUUACCUUACUGUACUUUCACACAAGCCAGGAGAUAAAUCUGUCUCCUUCAUAAGGGGACAGAGCCUAGCAGCACCACCAGCCAUGGGGUAGACUGCUUUGAGCCAGCUGUUAAAGACUGAGAGAAAGUCAGAAGCCAAGGGAUCUGUUCAGUGCACACCAGUCAGUAACAUAUCCAUGUUCUUCACUAACAUCUGUGAAUUCAGUUUCACAAUUCCUUUGUGAGGUAGGAAACAACUACUCCCUGUCUUUGACUACUCCCUGUCUUGCAGAAAGAAGAAAGUGAGGCACAAGGAGAUUAAGCUGAUCUCCUUAGGUCCUAAUAGGAAGUCUGCAGUGAAGCUGACGAUGAAUUUAAUCCCCUGGUUUAGUCACGGGACAGCCGCCCUCUCUUUGCCUAGAAAGGCUGGGCGUGACAUUUUGGUGCAGCCUCCACCUCUGCAAUCAGAGAACAUCCUGGAAAGAAAGUACACUUACACUGGUGCAAGUGGUUUCACUUCACUGUCUUGUCUCUCUGAAUUUUAAAGAGCGGCUCAAACUGUACAGAUGUGCUGCA